GCCCUUUUCUUGUUGCCCUGCUGAGCCGCAGAGGGGCAGUGCAAUGUUAAAAGGGCAU
rnacentral:pre_miRNA from 1 species